UACGAAGGGGGCUAGCGUUGUUCGGAAUCACUGGGCGUAAAGCGUACGUAGGCGGACCGUUAAGUCGGGGGUGAAAUCCCAGGGCUCAACCCUGGAACUGCCUUCGAUACUGGCGGUCUGGAGUCCGGGAGAGGUGAGUGGAACUCCUAGUGUAGAGGUGAAAUUCAUAGAUAUUAGGAAGAACACCAGUGGCGAAGGCGGCUCACUGGCCCGGUACUGACGCUGAGGUACGAAAGCGUGGGGAGCCAAACAGGG
rnacentral:rRNA from 1 species